rnacentral:rRNA from 1 species
UAAACRACUCUCGGCAACGGAUAUCUCGGCUCUCGCAUCGAUGAAGAACGUAGCGAAAUGCGAUACUUGGUGUGAAUUGCAGAAUCCCGUGAACCAUCGAGUCUUUGAACGCAAGUUGCGCCCGAAGCCUUCUGGCCGAGGGDACGCCUGCCUGGGCGUCACGCA